UACCAGCAUCGUCCAUCGAAUAAAGUCACCCAUCAUGUGAGAUCAGUGGCAGAAGUCAAUUUUCUUCACUUUUCUGACUUUUCUGCACGCAGCUAGUGCUGUGUGGUUUUGGGCACGACGGAUCGGAACCUGCUACACAAGUGAAGGAGAACAGCCGACGAGCAGAAGCAGGUCACCCAGCCUACUGUGACUCCAGUAAUCCUUGAUUUCUCCGUUUGUACGAUCGCAGCGCAGCGAAAAAACCUCUGGCAAAAUGGCCCUGAGCGACGCAGAUGUCCAGAAGCAGGUGAGUCGGAUUUAAGAUACGGUUCUAGGGUUUACUCCAGGACUCAUUCUGGUUGCAUAACAUCGUCUCUAGGGCAGUGCCUCGAGAAAGAAAUCAACCUGGGAAAUUUAUUCCGAAUAUUUUCCUCUAAUGGGAAAUGGAGCUCGAAAUCCUGCUCAAGUGACAUUUUUCUUGCUUUCGAGUGAUGAGUGCUUUAUCGAUUAGAUUUUAAGAUGCUUCGGAAGUCGGUGCAUCGGAUAUCGGUUUCUAAACAGAAAUCGCUGGAAUAAAUCUUUCAAUGGCUCUAAAAGUGUAAUUUCGAAGUUCCCGAUCGGUUGAUGCUGGUCACGGGACCGAUGAUGGUCAUGUGAAAUAUGUGCCCCUCUCCUAUUGAGUGUAGUGGUGUUGAAUAACGACGAUGAGAAGUGAUAAAAAUACAAUGAUCACUCAUUUCAAUAACAUAGGGCUUAAUUUUUGUGGAAAACUGCACAGAUUCCUUUACAAAAAUCUCGUUAGCAGCGAAAAAAUAUUCAAAUUUGAACAAUUUAAAGGUGAUGUCUGUUCUUUGAACCAUCCCAGAUGUCAGUUCAAAUUUCAAUUUCGGCAAAAAAAAAGUGUCACAUGACUGCACUUAUACGAGUCGCAACCAGUGACUUAAGCUGCUCACAUGCGUAUAUGGACAAAACACCAACACGUUUAGAUGUUUUUUUUUUAAUAUUUCAAUACCAAAAUGUUGAGUACGGACGUCUUUAAAAUAAAAUUACUUUCAAAAUAUGGUUACAAAAGGCUAUUGAAGAAUCAUUGCAUCUUUUGAUUGAAUAUUCAAUCAAUGUUCUUGGCUCGACCCUUAGAAGUUUUUUUGAUUAAUUAAAUCAAAUCAUAUUUCCCGCAGUAGUGAUUUCAACUACAUACAGAUAUUUAAAAAAAUCAGAUUAUGUUUUCUACUAUCUAGCAUCUCCGAAACAAAAGCAAGAAGAUAUUUCGCUUUAAAUAUACGAGCUAAAUUAUACCUUCCAUUUACAAAAGCUCUAAAGCAAGCACUGUGCACUGUUUGCGUUGGUCACAAAAAUUGUGUUUUGUAGGUUCCAAUAUUUGUUAUUAGUUGAAGAGAAUUAUGGUUUU